rnacentral:lncRNA from 1 species
GGGGGAGGGGGUGAAUUGGUGUUAGUUCAAAAACAAAAUCUUUUCGCAAACUUGGAAUGAAAAUUCAAAGCUUUUGAUCUUUCCUUGAAAUGCAAGUAAUGAAAAUUUCAGUGCAGCAGAAAAAUGUAGUUGACUGGUAAACAGAUAAAGUCGACUAAAAUAAAGAGUGCAGGGAUAGAGAUAAUUAAACACUAGUUUUUAUACUGGUUCGGCCAACAAUGCCUACUUCCAGUGUCCUUCAAAUCUUGGAAGCUAAUGCACUAUAAUGGUUGCGGUUUUUACAACAAGGAAUUUAUAGAAGCACCACGCAAAAAUAUAAAUCUCCUCUCUAACCCAAAACCAAAUAUAG